UACGGGGGGGGCAAGCGUUGUUCGGAAUUACUGGGCGUAAAGGGCUCGUAGGCGGCCAACUAAGUCAGCCGUGAAAUCCCUCGGCUUAACCGGGGAACUGCGUCUGAUACUGGAUGGCUUGAGUGUGGGAGAGGAAUGCGGAAUUCCAGGUGUAGCGGUGAAAUGCGUAGAUAUCUGGAGGAACACCGGUGGCGAAGGCGGCAUUCUGGACCAUUACUGACGCUGAGGAGCGAAAGCCAGGGGAGCAAACGGG
rnacentral:rRNA from 1 species